rnacentral:ncRNA from 1 species
CCGAUAAGGGCAAAUCCUUCGCGAGGAGGGGACGCAAAGCCACGGGCCCCAUGCGGGCAGCCGGGCCGCCGA